rnacentral:lncRNA from 1 species
AUGACAUCACUAUGGGGCUGAUGACAGAGCCAGGGUGUGGAGGAGUGCUAAGGAGCCCAGCGAGGGUGCCUACAAGAGGAGUCAAAGGGCAAAGGUGUGUGUGUAUUGCUGAACACGAGGACCUGAGAUCAGUGGCCAACGCUGUCACCAACAACUUGGACGAAAAAAAAUCCUCCCAGUCUGCUGCUCCCCUGGGUUUCAGAGUUCCA